CCCAGACUGAGGGGGAGCUCAGAGUGACCCAAAUUCUCAAAGAAAAGUUUCCACGAGCUACAGCUAUCAAAGUCACUGACAUUUCUGGAGUUGUGGGACGAUGUAUGAAAUUAAAAUUGAAUCAGAAGAAUUUAAGGAGAAGAGAACUGUCCAGCAGCACCAGAUGGUUUAUCAGGCACUAAAAGAAGAAAUCAAAGAGAUGCAUGGAUUGCGGAUAUCUACCUCUGUCCCC
rnacentral:lncRNA from 1 species